rnacentral:lncRNA from 1 species
AACUCACUAGGGUAGUGUGUACAUCUGGGCAGCUGGCGGGAGCAUGAACGGCUCACAGGUGGGAGCUGCGGCCAAGGCUGCCUGGCUGAGCUGCUGCAACCAGUCCGGGCUGCCACUCGGACCCCCGGAGGGGCCGCGGAUGGUGCAAGCAGUGGUGCUGGGUGUCCUGUCCCUUCUGGUGCUCUGUGGGAUCCUGUUCCUGGGUGGUGGACUCCUCCUCCGCGCUCAGGGCCUGAUAGCCCUGCUGGCCCGAGAAAGGCAUUCAACCCCCGAGGCUGAGCCUGGUGCCUGUGGAGGGGAUGAAGACUCCUAGGUGUCAGCUGCUCUUGAGAUCCAGCGCCUUCUGUGCCAUGCCGUCCAGAGCUCAUUUCUGUGGGGCACGGCAGAAGGCUCAACCCACAAACUCUUGUUUCCUGCACAGGUGCUGGACAUCUCCCCUCACCUGCCGCCCACCCGCACCCUAUUUGUGCUUGUGAGAUGGACUGAAGAUGCCGGACCGGUGACUCCUCAUCCUGGGACUCUGGUACUCGGCUGUCUCCGAGCUGCUCCCGACACUCCUGGGGUGGGUGCAGGAGACUGACUCAUGCUCAGAACAAGUGAGCCUGCUUGGUGACUGCCCUGUGCCAUGGGCACUGCGUGGACACGAGUGUGCCCUCUGCACACCAAGCUCUGUGGACAUGAGUGCAGUUCCUGUUUUGCCUGAUGCUGUACAGCAGGAUCUGACCACCCAGCGACCUAUUGCUGCUGAGAACCUGGGUUACUAUUUACCAUCUGGAGAGUGCGUCAGCCAUCCAGCAACACGCCAUCGCUUUCCAUGGCUUUGCCAUUAAAUAGGCCAGUAACGCAGUUCUGAGUGUGUGGUCUGUUUCCAGCCCUUGACCCUUGGGAUUCUUCGUUUCUCUCCUCAUCUCCCUUCAAUUUGGCCUGCUUCUAGUAAUUUUUUUUUUAAAGAAGGGGUUUACAAGGAGCUGGAGAGAUGGCUCAGUAGUUAAGAGCACUGACUGCUCUUCCAGAGGUCCUGAGUUUGAUUCCUAGUAACCACAUGGUAGCUCACAACCAUCUGUAAUGGGAUCUGAUGCCCUCUUCUGGUGUGUCUGAAGACAGCUGUGGUAUACUCAUAUACAUUAAAUAAAUAAAUAAACAAACAAACAAAUAAAUAU